rnacentral:lncRNA from 1 species
CCUGGCCUUUGAUUCGUGUUGGAAUAGGUUCCCAAAUCCUUUCUUUGGGACGAAGAAAGAGAAGGAGGAGAAGAAGGGGCAAAAAGGGAACCCCUUGGAAACCCAACCAAGUCAAGCUCAAAGGCUGGGUGUAUUGUUGCCGGCUGCGUUUCUGCUCUUUCUGGGAUUGUCGGGCGGCAUUCAAAGUAAUUCAGGACCAAUGCUGAGCGCCACAGGAAAUUAUGAUCGCAAAAAGUCUUCCUGUAGCGGACUACAAAGUGCCUUGGGCCGCGCUUACCUGAAUAGGGCUGAAUUAGACCAGACAACCGCAUCAUCCCAUUUCUUAAUCUAUUAAGAGUGAUAUACAAGUGGCAAUUGUUGAGAAAAAAGUCGGAUUAAGGAGUUUCUUCUUGGAGUGAAUUGGUUUUUUUGUGUUGUGUGAGAACAAAAAGAAGAAGGGGUGGGGAUGAGAGAAAAAAAAAAGGAAAUUUUCAUGAAUGAGCUCCGCUCCAAAUCUGGGAAUUAAAGCAGUCAUCAGAAGGGAUUUCUCCCUCCUGCCUUUCUCUCCUUGCCUUUAUCCCACGAGAUGUGCAGGUGAGAAGAUAUAAUGAGAAAGAGUUGGAAAGAAACUGUGAAAAGAAAACCUCAUAUAGAUUUUUGGACGCCAUAAAGGUUGACUGAACCUUUGAUUUCUUGUGGUUUCCAGCAAAUCUCAAUCUUCUCCGGCCUGAUGGAAGGCAAAGAGAGGAAUGAUGUGUUUCUCUCGUUUGCUUGCUUCUCCGUUUGGAAGAAAAAUACAAGAAAAACAAUAAGAUCAGGUGGCAGAGGACUCUUGCAAGUAAAACAAGCAGUCAAAGAAGAAGAACAUGCCCUGGCAGAAGAUGUAAAGCAAAGUGAAGAACCUGCUUUGAUUGAAGUCAAAAAUCAGAAACUCCUCAAAGCACAGCAGACAAAAAACCAGUACAAGAAAACCGCACUAUAAACUAGGGCUGACAGCUGGCACAACAAAACCUUGCAUGGAAAGUUCCUUGACAAAAUUGAAGGAAAAGCUGACAAGGAGAAGACCUGGCUCUGGCUCACGAAUGGGACCCUGAAGAAGGAGACAGAAGGCCUGAUCCUUGCAGCCCAGGAGCAAGACAUCAGAACAAAGGCAAUUCAGGCCAAGAUCGAAAAAUCAGCUGAUGACCCAAAAUGCAGACUCUGCAAGGAAACCGACGAAACCAUUGAUCAUAUCCUCAGCUGCUGUAAGAAAAUCGCACAGACAGACUACAAACAGAGGCACAACUAUGUGGCC